CAGCCGCCGCGCUAAUACGUAGGGGGCGAGCGUUACCCGGAUUCACUGGGCGUAAAGGGGGUGUAGGCGGCUCGGUAAGUCGGGUGUGAAAUCCCACGGCUCAACCGUGGAAUUGCGCCCGAAACUGCCGAGCUUGGGGCCGGUAGAGGGAGACGGAACUGCCGGUGUAGGGGUGAAAUCCGUAGAUAUCGGCAGGAACGCCGGUGGGGAAGCCGGUCUCCUGGGCCGCGCCCGACGCUGAGGCCCGAAAGCUAGGGGAGCAAACCGGAUUAGAUACCCGGGUAGUCCUAGCCGUAAACGAUGCCCACUAGGUGUGGGGGAGUAUUUCCUCCGUGCUGUAGCUAACGCGUUAAGUGGGCCGCCUGGGGAGUACGCCCGCAAGGGUGAAACUUAAAGGAAUUGGCGGG
rnacentral:rRNA from 1 species